rnacentral:rRNA from 1 species
GCAUGCGCGAAAUGUAGCGUUUAGGUGAAUCGUCGGGGCGGUUGAUCGUUGCCCAAGUCCUCCUGAACGGGGCUUUACCCAUGGCGGGUGUCAGGCCUCUGGAGGCGUCGAUCUCCGUCUCCUCGGUCUACCUUGGAGUCGGGUUGUUUGAGAAUGCAGCCCAAAGCGGGUGGUAAACUCCAUCUAAGGCUAAAUACUCGCACGAGUCCGAUAGCCAACAAGUACC